UUGAACGCUGGCGGCAGGCCUCACACAUGCCCGUCGCACGGUAACAGGAAGAAGCUUGCUUCUUUGCUGACGAGUGGCGGACGGGUGAGUAAUGUCUGGGAAACUGCCUGAUGGAGGGGGAUAACCACUGGAAACGGUAGCUAAUACCGCAUAACGUCGCAAGACCAAAGAGGGGGACCUUCGGGCCUUUUGCCAUCGGAUGUGCCCAGAUGGGAUUAGCUAGUAGGUGGGGUAACGGCUCACCUAGGCGACGAUCCCUAGCUGGUCUGAGAGGAUGACCAGCCACACUGGAACUGAGACACGGUCCAGACUCCUACGGGAGGCAGCAGUGGGGAAUAUUGCACAAUGGGCGCAAGCCUGAUGCAGCCAUGCCGCGUGUAUGAAGAAGGCCUUCGGGUUGUAAAGUACUUUCAGCGGGGAGGAAGGGAGUAAAGUUAAUACCUUUGCUCAUUGACGUUACCCGCAGAAGAAGCACCGGCUAACUCCGUG
rnacentral:rRNA from 1 species